CGUAGGUGGCAAGCGUUGUCCGGAUUUAUUGGGUUUAAAGGGUGCGUAGGCGGCCCUGUAAGUCAGUGCUGAAAUAUCCCGGCUUAACCGGGAGGGUGGCAUUGAUACUGCAGGGCUUGAGUAAAGUUGAGGUUGGCGGAAUUGACGGUGUAGCGGUGAAAUGCUUAGAUAUCGUCAAGAACACCGAUAGUGAAGACAGCUAACUAAGCUUUAACUGACGCUGAGGCACGAAAGUGUGGGGAUCAAACAGGAUUAGAUACCCUGGUAGUCCACACUGUAAACGUUGAUUACUCGAUGUUGGCGAUACACAGUCAGCGUCUUAGCGCAAGCGAUAAGUAAUCCACCUGGGGAGUACGCCGGCAACGGCG
rnacentral:rRNA from 1 species